GUUCGCACGCGGAGCGCAUUGCGUAAAACAAGAGCAAAAAGCAGCAGAGGAAAAAAAAAUAAGUUUUCGUUAGUUUCGUGUGUGUUUUUGCGCAAUUAUUACUGGCAGUAAAAUUGGUUAAAUGUGGCCAACAAAUAACGCCAUUUAAUGCAAAUGUGUGAAAGUGUUGUCUCUAAAUAAAAAUAUUACAACUAAGAAAAACAACAGCCGACUUUGUUUAACGCAUUUGUAAAACGUGCGCGAUACGGAAAAAAACCACAACAAAAACAACUGCAACAACAAUUACCAUUUGGAGCAGCUUUCAAAAACGCUUAUAUUUGUAUCGAAUGUCUAGCUACGGAUACAAAAUCCAUGCGCUUUCAGACUUAAGUUUCUAAGGCGAUUUCUAAUUGAUAUUGUUUGAUGAGUGUAUCGACUACGGUUUAACUCUACCCCAAUAAAGGAAAACAUAUUCUAGACUAAGGAAAAGCGGAAAGCUGUAAAUUACUUGAAAAUACAUUAAAAAUGUA
rnacentral:sRNA from 1 species